GCUCCUGCAGCACAUACUGAAAUUGAAAUGAUACAGAGAUGAUUAGCAUGGCCCUUCCACAGGAUGACACAUGAAUUUGUGAUAUAUUCCAUAUUUUU
ensembl:snRNA U6 U6 spliceosomal RNA